AUUGAACGCUGGCGGCAGGCCUAACACAUGCAAGUCGAGCGGUAGCACAGAGAGCUUGCUCUCGGGUGACGAGCGGCGGACGGGUGAGUAAUGUCUGGGAAACUGCCUGAUGGAGGGGGAUAACUACUGGAAACGGUAGCUAAUACCGCAUAACGUCGCAAGACCAAAGUGGGGGACCUUCGGGCCUCAUGCCAUCAGAUGUGCCCAGAUGGGAUUAGCUAGUAGGUGGGGUAAUGGCUCACCUAGGCGACGAUCCCUAGCUGGUCUGAGAGGAUGACCAGCCACACUGGAACUGAGACACGGUCCAGACUCCUACGGGAGGCAGCAGUGGGGAAUAUUGCACAAUGGGCGCAAGCCUGAUGCAGCCAUGCCGCGUGUAUGAAGAAGGCCUUCGGGUUGUAAAGUACUUUCAGCGAGGAGGAAGGCGAUAAGGUUAAUAACCUUGUCGAUUGACGUUACUCGCAGAAGAAGCACCGGCUAACUCCGUGCCAGCAGCCGCGGUAAUACGGAGGGUGCAAGCGUUAAUCGGAAUUACUGGGCGUAAAGCGCACGCAGGCGGUUUGCUAAGUCAGAUGUGAAAUCCCCGGGCUUAACCUGGGAACUGCAUUUGAAACUGGCAGGCUUGAGUCUUGUAGAGGGGGGUAGAAUUCCAGGUGUAGCGGUGAAAUGCGUAGAGAUCUGGAGGAAUACCGGUGGCGAAGGCGGCCCCCUGG
rnacentral:rRNA from 1 species